AUACUUACCUGGACGGGGUCAAUGGGCGAUCAUGAAGGCCCAUGGCCUAGGUUGGUGACCUCCAUUGCACUUUGGAGGGGCGCCUGCUUAAGGUCGGCCCAAGUGGCCGAGCCUACGUCAUAAUUUGUGGUAGUAGGGGCCUGCGUUCGCGCGGCCCCUAC
rnacentral:snRNA from 1 species